GAGGGGGGUGCAAACGUUAUUCGGAUUUAUUGGGUGUAAAGGGUGUGUAGACGGGUUAUUAAGUUCGUUGUUAAAUCUUCUGGGCCUAACCAGAAGCUCGCGAUGAAAACUAAUAGUCUUGAGGAUGGAAGAGAGAAGUGGAAUUCUCGGAGUAGCGGUAAAAUGCGUAGAUCUCGAGAGGAACACCGAUGGCGAAGGCAGCUUCUUGGUCCAUUCCUGACGUUGAAACACGAAAGCGUGGGGAGCAAACAGGAUUAGAUACCCUGGUAGUCCACGCCGUAAACGAUGAUCACUAGAUGUUGGCCCUGUUUUGCAGGGUUAGUAUCGAAGCUAACGCGUUAAGUGAUCCACCUGGGAACUACGAUCGCAAAGAUUA
rnacentral:rRNA from 1 species